rnacentral:rRNA from 1 species
AAAUUGAAGAGUUUGAUCAUGGCUCAGAUUGAACGCUGGCGGCAGGCCUAACACAUGCAAGUCGAACGGUAACAGGAAGCAGCUUGCUGCUUCGCUGACGAGUGGCGGACGGGUGAGUAAUGUCUGGGAAACUGCCUGAUGGAGGGGGAUAACUACUGGAAACGGUAGCUAAUACCGCAUAACGUCGAAAGACCAAAGAGGGGGACCUUCGGGCCUCUUGCCAUCGGAUGUGCCCAGAUGGGAUUAGCUUGUUGGUGGGGUAAUGGCUCACCAAGGCGACGAUCCCUAGCUGGUCUGAGAGGAUGACCAGCCACACUGGAACUGAGACACGGUCCAGACUCCUACGGGAGGCAGCAGUGGGGAAUAUUGCACAAUGGGCGCAAGCCUGAUGCAGC